AACGCACGAGACCUGCGGACCUGCGGAAGGAUCAUUAAUGAGAAGCUGCCCCUCGUGGGUAGACCUCCCACCCUCUGUGAACUUACUUUUGUUGCUUUGGCAGGCCCGUCCUCUGGACCGCCGGCUUCGGCUGGCCCGUGCCUGCCAGAGGAUUCCAAACCCUGUCUGUCAGUGUUGUCUGAGUCUAUAUGAAAUCGUUAAAACUUUUAACAACGGAUCUCUAGAUCGGAAGAGCACACG
rnacentral:misc_RNA from 1 species